AGCGGCGAACGGGUGAAUAACACGUAAAGAACCUGCCUCAUAGACUGGGACAACUAUUGGAAACGAUAGCUAGUACCGGAUAACAGCAUUAACUGCAUGGUUGAUGUUUAAAAGUUGGUUUUGCUAACACUAUGAGAUGGCUUUGCGGUGCAUUAGCUAGUUGGUGGGGUAAAGGCCUACCAAGGCGACGAUGCAUAGCCGACCUGAGAGGGUGAUCGGCCACACUGGGACUGAGACACGGCCCAGACUCCUACGGGAGGCGGCAGUAGGGAAUCUUCCGCAAUGGGCGAAAGCCUGACGGAGCAACGCCGCGUGAGUGAAGAAGGAUUUCGGUUCGUAAAGCUCUGUUGUUAGGGAAGAAUGAUUGUGUAGUAACUAUACACAGUAGAGACGGUACCUAACCAGAAAGCCACGGCUAACUACGUGCCAGCAGCCGCGGUAAUACGUAGGUGGCAAGCGUUGUCCGGAAUUAUUGGGCGUAAAGCGCGCGCAGGUGGUUUAAUAAGUCUGAUGUGAAAGCCCACGGCUCAACCGUGGAGGGUCAUUGGAAACUGUUAAA
rnacentral:rRNA from 1 species